UACGUAGGGUGCGAGCGUUGUCCGGAAUUAUUGGGCGUAAAGAGCUCGUAGGCGGUCUGUCGCGUCGAAUGUGAAAACCCGGGGCUCAACUCCGGGCUUGCAUUCGAUACGGGCAGGCUAGAGUUCGGUAGGGGAGUCUGGAAUUCCUGGUGUAGCGGUGAAAUGCGCAGAUAUCAGGAGGAACACCGGUGGCGAAGGCGGGACUCUGGGCCGAUACUGACGCUGAGGAGCGAAAAGCGUGGGGGAGCGAAACAGG
rnacentral:rRNA from 1 species